UACGGGGGGGGCAAGCGUUGUUCGGAAUUACUGGGCGUAAAGGGCUCGUAGGCGGCCAACUAAGUCGGAUGUGAAAUCCCCAGGCUCAACCUGGGAACUGCAUCCGAUACUGGAUGGCUUGAAUCCGGGAGAGGGAUGCAGAAUUCCAGGUGUAGCGGUGAAAUGCGUAGAUAUCUGGAGGAAUACCGGUGGCGAAGGCGGCAUCCUGGACCGGCAUUGACGCUGAGGAGCGAAAGCUAGGGGAGCAAACAGG
rnacentral:rRNA from 1 species